rnacentral:lncRNA from 1 species
UCGGCUUCUAGCUUGUGGAUAUCGAUGUCUAAUCCCAAAUGCACUCUUUCUUCUUCUAACUGUUCUAUCCUCUUUCCCAACUCAGAAUUUCUUUUCUCAAAGUCUCGUUUGAUGAUCUCUAAUUCUGACGGAACUACUUGUAGAUGCUCUUCUAUAGACUGAACGCAAUCUUCCCUCGGCUUAGGGAUGUUGUCAUUGACUCUUUU